rnacentral:rRNA from 1 species
UACGGGGGGAGCAAGCGUUGUUCGGAUUUACUGGGCGUAAAGGGCGCGUAGGCGGCCACUGCAAGUCAGUUGUGAAAUCUCCGGGCUUAACCCGGAAAGGUCAACUGAUACUGCAGGGCUAGAGUGCAGAAGGGGCAACUGGAAUUCUCGGUGUAGCGGUGAAAUGCGUAGAUACCGAGAGGAACACCUGCGGCGAAGGCGGGUUGCUGGGCUGACACUGACGCUGAGGCGCGAAAGCGUGGGGAGCAAACAGG